CAGAUCGUGGCGGUUGAGUUCGACAACAUCCGAUAUUCUUGGGAUCCGAGCGACGAUCACGUCGGGAUCGACGUCAACUCAAUCCGUUCCGGCGCAGUGCCGCAUUGGGAAGAACGAUUCAACCUUUAGUAGGAAAACCCAAGUCCACUAAUCAUUGUAGCGAUAAACGCAAAAUCAGAAGAGAACAUAAACGAAAGGGAGGGAGCUGCAAAGGAACUAAACCUGAUGUUGAUCGUCGUGCUUGUCCAAAUUGAGGGUUGGAGCUCUUCGACGGCGAAAAAGUGGGAAAAUUUAUCAAAUAAUUCGUUCCCGAUCGAUUGUUAGAGUUCGUCAGCGUCAGAUUCUCCGCCUCCACCGAAAACUCCACCCAGAUUCACAAAGUUCUCGCCUGAAAUUUCCAUUCCACCCUAAAAAUCAAGAAGCUGCAAAUUUUUUUUGGAUUGGCGAUCGGGUUAGGGUAGCGUUUGGGUUAUUGUUUAUCGGAUUCGGAGCGUUUCUGUUCGGGAGGACUAAAAUCUGCCACCAGAGAAACAACGACGACAACAGAGGAUUCAAAAUGGUUCCUCAUUCCUCUAUUUUAUUAGUUUAUUUAUUUUUUAAUUUAUAUUUUAUUGAUUAAUGACUAGAAUUGAUGAUGAUGUGACAUGCAUGCUUGGCCGGUAUAUAUUGGUGUGGCGGACGGAAGUCGACAAAAAUCGGAAAUGGUGUCAGUGAUAAAUUACUACUGGGACCAAAAUGUCGAAACAUACGAUCUUAAGGUGUUUGUGAAAAAAAUUUAAACUUACGGGACUAUUAAAGUCGAUAGCCUGAUUUUAUAGAGGUUGAACCAUUGAACUUUCCUUAAAAAUCACAUUGGUACUAAUUCCGAACAAGCAACCCGGUCUGGUUCGGUUCAUCCGGUCAAAACAGAGAACAG
rnacentral:lncRNA from 1 species